rnacentral:rRNA from 1 species
UUAAGUUAAUAAGGGCGCACGGUGGAUGCCUUGGCACUAGGAGCCGACGAAGGACGUGACAAACGACGAUAUGCCUUGGGUAGCUGUAAGUAAGCGAUGAUCCAGGGAUUUCCGAAUGGGGGAACCCAACAGGUAGUACCUGUUACCCACAUCUGUUAAGGAUGUGAGGAGGAAGACGCAGUGAACUGAAACAUCUAAGUAGCUGCAGGAAGAGAAAGCAAAAGCGAUUGCCUUAGUAGCGGCGAGCGAAACGGCAGGAGGGCAAACCGAAGAGUUUACUCUUCGGGGUUGUAGGACUGCAAUGUGGACUCAAAGAUUAUAGAAGAAUGAUUUGGGAAGAUCAGCCAAAGAGAGUAAUAGCCUCGUAUUUAAAAUAGUCUUUGUACUUAGCAGUAUCCUGAGUACGGCGGGACACGGGAAAUCCCGUCGGAAUCUGGGGGGACCAUCUCCCAACCCUAAAUACUCCCUAGUGACCGAUAGUGAACCAGUACCGUGAGGGAAAGGUGAAAAGCACCCCGGGAGGGGAGUGAAAUAGAACCUGAAACCGUGUGCCUACAACAAGUUCGAGCCCGUUAAUGGGUGAGAGCGUGCCUUUUGUAGAAUGAACCGGCGAGUUACGUUAUGAUGCGAGGUUAAGUUGAAGAGACGGAGCCGUAGGGAAACCGAGUCUGAAUAGGGCGCCUUAGUAUCAUGACGUAGACCCGAAACCAUGUGACCUACCCAUGAGCAGGUUGAAGGUGCGGUAAGACGCACUGGAGGACCGAACCAGGGCACGUUGAAAAGUGCUUGGAUGACUUGUGGGUAGCGGAGAAAUUCCAAACGAACUUGGAGAUAGCUGGUUCUCUCCGAAAUAGCUUUAGGGCUAGCGUCGACAUUAGAGAUUCUUGGAGGUAGAGCACUGUUUGGGUGAGGGGUCCAUCCCGGAUUACCAAUCUCAGAUAAACUCCGAAUGCCAAUGAAUUAUGGUCGGCAGUCAGACUGCGAGUGCUAAGAUCCGUAGUCGAAAGGGAAACAGCCCAGACCACCAGCUAAGGUCCCAAAAUAAUUGUUAAGUGGAAAAGGAUGUGGGGUUGCACAGACAACUAGGAUGUUAGCUUAGAAGCAGCUAUUCAUUCAAAGAGUGCGUAAUAGCUCACUAGUCGAGUGACCCUGCGCCGAAAAUGUACCGGGGCUAAAACAAUUUACCGAAGCUGUGGAUACCUUUAUAGGUAUGGUAGGAGAGCGUUCUAUGUGUGAUGAAGGUAUACCGUGAGGAGUGCUGGAACGCAUAGAAGUGAGAAUGCCGGUAUGAGUAGCGAAAGACAGGUGAGAAUCCUGUCCACCGUAAGACUAAGGUUUCCAGGGGAAGGCUCGUCCGCCCUGGGUUAGUCGGGACCUAAGGAGAGACCGAAAGGUGUAUCCGAUGGACAACAGGUUGAUAUUCCUGUACUAGAGUAUGUAGUGAUGGAGGGACGCAGUAGGCUAACUAAAGCAGACGAUUGGAAGAGUCUGUCUAAGCAGUGAGGUGUGAAUUGAGUCAAAUGCUUAAUUCUAUAACAUUGAGCUGUGAUGGGGAGCGAAGUUUAGUAGCGAAGUUAGUGACGUCACACUGCCAAGAAAAGCUUCUAGCGUUUAAACAUACUCUACCCGUACCGCAAACCGACACAGGUAGUCGAGGCGAGUAGCCUCAGGUGAGCGAGAGAACUCUCGUUAAGGAACUCGGCAAAAUGACCCCGUAACUUCGGGAGAAGGGGUGCUGACUUUAAGUCAGCCGCAGUGAAUAGGCCCAAGCAACUGUUUAUCAAAAACACAGCUCUCUGCUAAAUCGUAAGAUGAUGUAUAGGGGGUGACGCCUGCCCGGUGCUGGAAGGUUAAGAGGAGUGCUUAGCGUAAGCGAAGGUAUGAAUUGAAGCCCCAGUAAACGGCGGCCGUAACUAUAACGGUCCUAAGGUAGCGAAAUUCCUUGUCGGG